rnacentral:rRNA from 1 species
UUGACCUCGGAUCAGGUAGGGAUACCCGCUGAACUUAAGCAUAUCAAUAAGCGGAGGAAAAGAAACCAACCGGGAUUGCCCUAGUAACGGCGAGUGAAGCGGCAAGAGCUCAAAUUUGAAAGCUGGCUCCUUCGGG